rnacentral:rRNA from 1 species
GCUAGACGCGGGCGAGUGGCGUGGGUAAUACGGAGGGGGGGAGCGUGGUCCGGAGUCAGUGUGCGGAAAGGGGGCGUAGGGGGGCCGUUAAGGGGCGGGUGAAAGCCCGCGGCGCAACCGCGGGGCGGCCGGUAAGACUGGCGGGCUCGGGCACGGGAGAGGCAGAUGGAAUUCCCGGUGUAGCGGUGGAAUGCGUAGAGAUCGGGAAGAACACCAGUGGCGAAGGCGUUCGGCUGGGCCGUUGCUGACGCUGAGGCGCGACAGCGUGGGGAGCAAACAGGAUUAGAUACCCCGGUAGUC